rnacentral:rRNA from 1 species
UACGGAGGAGGCAAGCGUUAUCCGGAAUUAUUGGGCGUAAAGCGUCCGCAGGUGGCUAUUCAAGUCUGCGGUCAAAGACUGGGGCUUAACCCUGGAAAGGCCGUGGAAACUGAAGAGCUAGAGUGCAGUAGGGGUAGAGGGAAUUCCCGGUGUAGCGGUGAAAUGCGUAGAGCUCGGGAAGAACAUCGGUGGCGAAAGCGUUCUGCUAGACCUGUACUGACACUGAGGGACGAAAGCUAGGGGAGCGAAUGGG